UAUUGCUCCUUCUUCCUUCCCUUCCCUAGUUAGUACUGGCAUAUGGACAUUCGUGUGACAUGGAACCAAUGUUCAGAUGCCCGUACUGUCUGGUGUUGGGUAUGCUCACACUGCUAAGCU
rnacentral:precursor_RNA from 8 species